rnacentral:rRNA from 1 species
CGGGCUGAGUACAGCGGCGGACGGGUGAGUAACGCGUAGGAAUCUACCUGGUAUUGGGGGACAACAUGGGGAAACCCAUGCUAAUACCGCAUACGCCCUAUGGGGGAAAGCGGGGGACCUUCGGGCCUCGCGCUAUCAGAUGAGCCUGCGUAGGAUUAGCUUGUUGGUGAGGUAAAGGCUCACCAAGGCGACGAUCCUUAGCUGGUCUGAGAGGAUGAUCAGCCACACUGGGACUGAGACACGGCCCAGACUCCUACGGGAGGCAGCAGUGGGGAAUAUUGCGCAAUGGGCGAAAGCCUGACGCAGCCAUGCCGCGUGUGUGAAGAAGGCCUUCGGGUUGUAAAGCACUUUCAAUUGGGAAGAAAGGUUGUUGUCUAAUACGCAACAGCUGUGACGUUACCUUUAGAAGAAGCACCGGCUAACUCCGUGCCAGCAGCCGCGGUAAUACGGAGGGUGCGAGCGUUAAUCGGAAUUACUGGGCGUAAAGCGCGCGUAGGCGGUUUGUUAAGUCGGAUGUGAAAGCCCUGGGCUCAACCUGGGAACUGCAUACGAUACUGGCCGACUAGAGUACGAGAGAGGGAGGUAGAAUUCCACGUGUAGCGGUGAGAUGCGUAGAUAUGUGGAGGAAUACCGGUGGCGAAGGCGGCCUCCUGGCUCGAUACUGACGCUGAGGUGCGAAAGCGUGGGUAGCAAACAGGAUUAGAUACCCU